ACAAAACGCAAAAUGAGGAGCAGAGCUGAAUCGCACAGACGAUCUCGUCGGAUCUUAGGGCUCUCUCUGGCAGGCCGCAUGAAACCAGCUUGCAAUGUCAACCAAGACUCCCUUUCUGAUUAAAAACACGUGAAAGAAAGAGGCUGCUUCUCAUGUGACGCCCGUGCACUGCUUGAUAACACGAAUCACAGGUUCUAAUUUUUCACAGAUUCUAAUCAUUGUGCGGGGGCCUUUGGUUGUUGUGGAAAUGAUGGGAAAGAGACGACAGUUCCCACAAACGAAAGGAGGGGGGAAAACGGACAAGUGCGACCCCUGAUUUGCCAGCCGAGUUGGAGUUAUAUGUGUUUUAGAGUUUUCUCAGUGUCCAUGCCUCGAGGAACAGGGGGAGUCACGAGUAGAUGGAGGCUGCCGAAGAGAGGCAAACGCACUCGAGUCCUGUUUGGCUCAAGGAGCAUUUCGUUCAUGCCAUCAACAAAGCCAUGGAGGUAGCGCGUAAUGUAUUGGUAUCUUUGUAGCUGCGCGAAUGCAUAUAUUUAGAUCGAUAGGCAGAUAUGUAUUUCCGUGCAACUCGACUCGGCGACAAAUCGUUGAGCGUCACAGAGGACUUGGAACUGACAGAAGCCGUGAGGCGAUUCAGAGAGGCAACGACUUUAGGGAGUUCAUUG
rnacentral:lncRNA from 1 species